CCCUUAGAUGUUCUGGGCCGCACGCGCGCUACACUGUCGGAUUCAGCGAGUCUUAACCUUAACCGAAAGGUUUGGGUAAUCUUUUGAAAGUCCGACGUGAUGGGGAUUGAUCAUUGCAAUUAUUGAUCAUGAACGAGGAAUUCCUAGUAAGCGCGAGUCAUCAGCUCGCGUUGAUUACGUCCCUGCCCUUUGUACACACCGCCCGUCGCUACUACCGAUUGAGUGAUCCGGUGAACGAUUCGGACCAGCGUGCUGCUCAGAUCCUGCGCAGUGUGCUGGGAAGUCUAGUGAACCUUAUCACUUAGAGGAAGGAGAAGUCGUAACA
rnacentral:rRNA from 1 species